UGCAAGUCGAGCGGAGUUUUGAAAAGCUUGCUUUUCAAAACUUAGCGGCGGACGGGUGAGUAACACGUGGGCAACCUGCCCUUGAGACGGGGAUAACUCCGGGAAACCGGAGCUAAUACCGGAUAACACAUAUCUUCGCAUGAGGAUAUGUUAGAAGGUGGCUUUUAGCUACCACUCAAGGAUGGGCCCGCGGCGCAUUAGCUAGUUGGUGAGGUAACGGCUCACCAAGGCGACGAUGCGUAGCCGACCUGAGAGGGUGAUCGGCCACACUGGGACUGAGACACGGCCCAGACUCCUACGGGAGGCAGCAGUAGGGAAUCUUCCGCAAUGGACGAAAGUCUGACGGAGCAACGCCGCGUGAGUGAUGAAGGUUUUCGGAUCGUAAAGCUCUGUUGUUAGGGAAGAACAAGUAUCUGUUGAAUAAGCAGGUACCUUGACGGUACCUAACCAGAAAGCCACGGCUAACUACGUGCCAGCAGCCGCGGUAAUACGUAGGUGGCAAGCGUUGUCCGGAAUUAUUGGGCGUAAAGCGCGCGCAGGCGGUUCCUUAAGUCUGAUGUGAAAGCCCACGGCUCAACCGUGGAGGGUCAUUGGAAACUGGGGAACUUGAGUGCAGAAGAGGAGAGCGGAAUUCCACGUGUAGCGGUGAAAUGCGUAGAGAUGUGGAGGAACACCAGUGGCGAAGGCGGCUCUCUGGUCUGUAACUGACGCUGAGGCGCGAAAGCGUGGGGAGCGAACAGGAUUAGAUACCCUGGUAGUCCACGCCGUAAACGAUGAGUGCUAAGUGUUAGA
rnacentral:rRNA from 2 species